GGGACCACCUUGAAAAUACUGAGACUGAGGUGGAAAAGCGUAGGAGCAAACAGGAUUAGAUACUGUGGUAGUCCAGGCCGUAAACGAUGUCAACUAGCCGUUGGGAGCCUUGAGAUCUUAGCGGCGCAGCUAAAGCAUUAAGUUGACCGCUUGUGGAGUACGGCCGCAAGGUUAAAACUCAAAUGAAUUGACGGGGGCCAGCACAAGCGGUGGAGCAUGUGGUUUAAUUUGAAGCAACGUGAAGAACCUUACCAGGCCUUGACAUCCAAUGAACUUUCCAGAGAUGGAUUGGUGCCUUCGGGAACAUUGAGACAGGUGCUGCAUGGCUGUUGUCAGCUCGUGUCUUGAGAUGUUGGGUUAAGUCCCGUAACGAGCGCAACCCUUGUCCUUAGUUACCAGCACGUAAUGGUGGGCACUCUAAGGAGACUGCCGGUGACAAACCGGAGGAAGGUGGGGAUGACGUCAAGUCAUCAUGGCCCUUACGGCCUGGGCUACACACGUGCUACAAUGGUCGGUACAGAGGGUUGCCAAGCCGCGAGGUGGAGCUAAUCCCAUAAAACCGAUCGUAGUCCGGAUCGCAGUCUGCAACUCGACUGCGUGAAGUCGGAAUCGCUAGUAAUCGCGAAUCAGAAUGUCGCGGUGAAUACGUUCCCGGGCCUUGUACACACCGCCCGUCACACCAUGGGAGUGGGUUGCACCAGAAGUAGCUAGUCUAACCUCGGAGGACGUACACGUAUCCAUU
rnacentral:rRNA from 1 species